GCUCUCGUCGAAAGGCGGUCCUUUUCCCAUGUCACUUUUCAUAAAAAGAGUGCUGCUCUCGAGUGGAGCCCGGACCUCGAGAUCCAAGUACAGUCCGGCCUCCGCUCAUGCUCCCGCUAGAUAACCCGGGGAUAGGUCUCCCAGUCUAACACUGGCCCUACAUGAGGUACCCCAAACCCUGACGUUUGGCCCCUCACAUCCUGGUACUGGAAGGGACCGGAUCCUCUCAGCAAAGUGUACCCUGAAUAACUGUCAUAGUCUGGCCUCGUCCCACUCU
rnacentral:lncRNA from 1 species